rnacentral:rRNA from 1 species
GAUGAACGCUGGCGGCGUGCCUAAUACAUGCAAGUCGAGCGAACGGACGAGAAGCUUGCUUCUCUGAUGUUAGCGGCGGACGGGUGAGUAACACGUGGAUAACCUACCUAUAAGACUGGGAUAACUUCGGGAAACCGGAGCUAAUACCGGAUGAUAUUUUGAACCGCAUGGUUCAAAAGUGAAAGACGGUCUUGCUGUCAGUUAUAGAUGGAUCCGCGCUGCAUUAGCUAGUUGGUAAGGUAACGGCUUACCAAGGCAACGAUGCAUAGCCGACCUGAGAGGCGGAUCGCCCACAUUGGAGCGGGGACACGGUCCAGACUCCUACGGGAGGCAGCAGUAGGGAAUCGUCCGCAAUGGUCGAAAGCCUUACGGAGCAGCGCCGCGUGAGUUAUGAAGGUCUUCGGAUCGUAAAACUCUGUUAUUAGGGAAGAACAUAUGUGUAAGUAACUGUGCACAUCUUGACGGUACCUAAUCAGAAAGCCACGGCUAACUACGUG